rnacentral:rRNA from 1 species
UACGGGGGGGGCAAGCGUUGUUCGGAAUUACUGGGCGUAAAGGGCUCGUAGGCGGUUUGUCGCGUCGGGAGUGAAAACCCAGGGCUUAACCCUGGGCUGGCUUCCGAUACGGGCAGACUAGAGGUAUGCAGGGGAGAACGGAAUUCCUGGUGUAGCGGUGAAAUGCGCAGAUAUCAGGAGGAACACCGGUGGCGAAGGCGGUUCUCUGGGCAUUACCUGACGCUGAGGAGCGAAAGUGUGGGGAGCGAACAGG